rnacentral:rRNA from 1 species
CGGGUGAGUAAUGUCUGGGAAACUGCCUGAUGGAGGGGGAUAACUACUGGAAACGGUAGCUAAUACCGCAUAACGUCGCAAGACCAAAGAGGGGGACCUUCGGGCCUCUUGCCAUCGGAUGUGCCCAGAUGGGAUUAGCUAGUAGGUGGGGUAACGGCUCACCUAGGCGACGAUCCCUAGCUGGUCUGAGAGGAUGACCAGCCACACUGGAACUGAGACACGAUCCAG